UUUGCAAAUUUGCAAUUAAAACGGAUUAUGUUGUACUCUGCAUACUAACAGUGAUAGCUAUGAAAACAUCUUAAAUUCUAGGGUAGUUAUUUCUAGUAAAAUUUUUCAUAAUAAUAUUGUAAUAGGCAAGAAAUGUAGCACACUUUGUGUGCAUACAUUAUUUACUAUUCUUUUCCCAUACAUUUCUUUGAAAAUACAUAUUCAGUGAUCUUUAGGACCUUCCAUGAGAUCUUCAGGGUCUCAUGGACCACAAUCCAUGUCAGCAUUAAUGCUUGUAGGCAAUCAUGUUGAAACUAGGGUGCACUCACUACGAGGGAGAAGUAUGAGUAAAGAUUCAACCUCAUUUUUAAGCUUCUGAUACGAGCAUAAAGAAGCAAAAGUUAAAAAAAAAAAUAAAGGUAUGAAUUCCCGUUUUAAACAUCUGAAACAACCCUUAUUUAAUAAGUGCUUGUAUUUAAAGCAGUUGGGAACCUACCUUUUGUAGAGGAAGAAAUACAGUUUGAUUAAUUAGACAAAAGCUGAAAAGGGAUUGAAGAAUGUGUCAGGGGAAAAAAAAUGAUAGAAAAGGAACAUAAGCUUAGUAUUUUUUCUUUGAAAUUCAAGAGUUUUAAUAGUAUUUCAUUUUUUUAAAAGAAAAAGAAGGCACAGUUCAAGUUCUUUGUUUUUUAUUAUUAUUGUCUUUUAUUUUUGUUUGUUUGGGUUUGAUUAUUUAGUGAUUGUCUGCCUCCUAUUAUUGCUCAUCAAAUUGCAGAAAGAAAUCCAAAUUUGUCAGAGCUACCAACAACAGUUAUGCGAUGCAUUGGCUGUUCUCAGAGGAAAUAUUGAGAAGUAUUACAACAUAAAUACAGAAGACACAGAAUGUUCACCAGGAAAGCUUUUGAGGCUUUUACGUAACAAACUGCAUGAGAAGGAGUCCAUAAUUAAAAAUCUGGAAAGAAGACUGCAGGAAUGUCAAGAAAAAGGAAGGGCUAAAAUGGUAUUUUUUUUAAAAAAAAUAAAUAAAUCAUAA
rnacentral:lncRNA from 1 species